rnacentral:lncRNA from 1 species
GGACUAUAAAAUCAUGAUACUUCCACACGAUAUUGAAAUGAGCUUCAAAUGUGAUUCUGGAACUAUAAAUGUACUAAAGAUGGAUUUGCUAUGGUUCUUACUUUCAAAACAAUUGAAACCAUCUGGGAAUGUACAAUUCAAAAUCUCAGUAGGAUUGCUAUGUUAGUAUUGACACAUCCCCAUUCAAAUGCUGGAUCAGAAAGGGUUUUUUUCUAUCAUUAAAAGAAUCAAGACAGACAGCCGGACCACACUGAACAAUGAGACAUUAUCAAACUUAGUGUGCACAAAGAUAAACAAAUUUUCUAAAGAAGCAUGUUUUAACAUGCAGAUUAGUGAUAGUGCACUAACAAAAUGUAAAUCAGCUAUGUGGAUAUAUAAUAAAGCACAUAUCAAUUCGAAAGAAUGAACGUAUGUAGAUUAUACAUCAAAAAAUGAAAAAUAAAUGAUUUGUCCAGCAAAUGACCUGUAU